CCUUCUCCUUGGUUCUCCAGCCCUUUCUCCUCCUUCUCCAGUCCCUUCUUCUUCUCCAGACCCUUCUCGUUGGGCUUCAGGCCCUUCUCCUUGGUCUUCACACCCUUCUCAUUGACCUCUAGACCCUUCUCCUUGGUUCUCCAGACCUUUCUUCUCCUUCUCCACACUCUAGACCCUUCUCCUUGGGCUUCAGCCCCUUUUUUUGGGAUCCAGACCCUUCUUCUUGGGAUCCAGACCCUUCUUCUUCUCCAGACCCUUCUCCUUGGUCUUCACACCCUUCUCAUUGACCUCUAGACCCUUCUCCUUGGUUCUCCAGCCCUUUCUCCUCCUUCUCCAGCCCCUUCUUCUUCUCCAGACCCUUCUCCUUGGGAUCCGGACCCUUCUCCUUGGCCUCCAGACCCUUCUCCUUGGUCUUCACACCCUUCUCAUUGACUUCUAGACCCUUCUCCUUGGUUCUCCAGACCUUUCUCCUCCUUCUCCAGCCCCUUCUUCUUCUCCAGCCCCUUCUCCUUGGGCUCCAGCCCCUUCUCCUUGACCUCCAGCCCCCUCACCGCCUCCGUUGCCCUUCCCUGGCCUCGCUCCAGGCUCUUCCCUCCGCCCCGUAUGACUCUUUACCGGUGAAGCGCGUGACGAAGACCCAAACGAGCUCCCGUGAGGUCCCACCACCUUUCUCACCCCCUUUCUUUCCCCGGCAGACCUGGCUGUGUCUCAUCGCCCUGGGGGUCUCCUUCCUGGCCUGCGGGAAAACGCUCCGCUUGGGAUUCGCCGCUCGCCCGGAGCUUUUCCUCCUCAACAACGUCGACGCCGACGCUCUCGUCGCCCGAUGAUCCCGACUCCCCCCGGGAAUUUCCCGGGAUCCCCCCAUUUUGUGCCACAAAAAAACAUCCCCCCCCCCCAAAAAAAAAAAAAAAGGUUGGAGGGGGGGGCACCGGAGUCAGCUCCCGGCACCGGGAACGGAGCCCAGGAAUUCCCCCGGGAAGGAUCCGGGGGGUCCCGGCUGGAAGAAGAGCAGGAUCCCGGAAAAAAAGAGGAAAGAUCCCGACUCCAAACCACGGCGUUGACAAAUUUUCCCCCAAUUUUCCCUUUUUUUUUCCCCCAAAACAGUUGAUCCCACCCCCCGGGAGGGAAAUCCGGGAUAUUUUUUCCCCAAUUUCAAUUCAAAUUUCUCCCCCUUCCAUCCGCUGGGAAAACAGGGACAAAGGGGGACAACGAUCCCUUCCCAU
rnacentral:lncRNA from 1 species